UGACCGGGGACCCGCACAAGCAGGCGGAGCAUGUGGUUUUAAUUCGAAGCAACGCGAAGAACCUUACCAGAUCUUGACAUCCAAUUGACCAUCUUUAAUCGAGAUUUUGCCUUCGGGUACAAUUGAGACAGGUGGUGCAUGGUUGUCGUCAGCUCGUGUCGUGAGAUGUUGGGUUAAGUCCCGCAACGAGCGCAACCCCUAUUGCUAGUUACCAUCAUUAAGUUGGGGACUCUAGCGAGACUGCCAGUGAUAAACUGGAGGAAGGUGGGGAUGACGUCAAAUCAUCAUGCCCCUUAUGACCUGGGCUACAAACGUGAUACAAUGGCUGGAACAAAGGGAUGCGAAGCAGUGAUGUGGAGCGAAACCCAUAAAAACAGUCUCAGUUCGGAUUGAAGUCUGCAACUCGACUUCAUGAAGUCGGAAUCGCUAGUAAUCGCGGAUCAGAACGCCGCGGUGAAUACGUUCUCGGGGUUU
rnacentral:rRNA from 1 species